rnacentral:rRNA from 1 species
CACGUAGGAGGCGAGCGUUGUCCGGAAUCAUUGGGCGUAAAGAGCGCGCAGGCGGCUUGGCAAGUCGGGUGUGAAAUCCCGGGGCUCAACCCCGUGACUGCAUCCGAUACUGUCAGGCUAGAGGUAGGUAGGGGAGAUCGGAAUUCCUGGUGUAGCGGUGAAAUGCGCAGAUAUCAGGAGGAACCCCGGUGGCGAAGGCGGAUCUCUGGGCCUUACCUGACGCUCAGGCGCGAAAGCUAGGGGAGCGAACAGG